GAUGAACGCUGGCGGCGUGCCUAAUACAUGCAAGUCGAGCGAACAGACGAGGAGCUUGCUCCUCUGACGUUAGCGGCGGACGGGUGAGUAACACGUGGAUAACCUACCUAUAAGACUGGGAUAACUUCGGGAAACCGGAGCUAAUACCGGAUAAUAUAUUGAACCGCAUGGUUCAAUAGUGAAAGACGGUUUUGCUGUCACUUAUAGAUGGAUCCGCGCCGCAUUAGCUAGUUGGUAAGGUAACGGCUUACCAAGGCGACGAUGCGUAGCCGACCUGAGAGGGUGAUCGGCCACACUGGAACUGAGACACGGUCCAGACUCCUGCGGGAGGCAGCAGUAGGGAAUCUUCCGCAAUGGGCGAAAGCCUGACGGAGCAACGCCGCGUGAGUGAUGAAGGUCUUCGGAUCGUAAAACUCUGUUAUUAGGGAAGAACAAGUGUGUAAGUAACUAUGCACGUCUUGACGGUACCUAAUCAGAAAGCCACGGCUAACUACGUG
rnacentral:rRNA from 1 species